rnacentral:rRNA from 1 species
GCUUGUCUCAAGAUUAAGCCAUGCAUGUCUAAGUGUAAAUAAGUCUAUACUGUGAAACUGCGAAUGGCUCAUUAAAUCAGUUAUAGUUUAUUUGAUGGUUCAUACUACUUGGAUAACCGUAGUAAUUCUAGAGCUAAUACAUGCGUCAAAACCCAACUUCUGGGAGGGUUGUAUUUAUUAGAUGGAAACCAAUGCGGGGCAACCCGGUAUAUGGUGAUUCAUAAUAACUUUCGGAUCGAUCUUCGGAUCGAUGCAUCAUUCAAGUUUCUGCCCUAUCAGCUUUGGAUGGUAGGGUAUUGGCCUACCAUGGCUUUAACGGGUAACGGAGAAUUAGGGUUCGAUUCCGGAGAGGGAGCCUGAGAAAUGGCUACCACAUCCAAGGAAGGCAGCAGG